rnacentral:tRNA from 1 species
GGAGAGAUGGCUCAGUGGUUAAGAGCACUGACUCCUUUUCCAGAGGACCUGGGUUCAAUUCCCAGCACCC